rnacentral:lncRNA from 1 species
GGCUCGUCCCUUCCCCCACCCCCAGCCGCCGCCGCCGCCCGCGCUUCGCAACAAAGCCGGCUGCGGAGCCAUGGUCCACGGCGCCCGCCCGCGACCCCGCCGCCCCGCAUGGUAGCCGGAACGUCUCUCCCUUACCAGCCUUCGCUUCCUGGUGCCCAGCUCUUAGGACCGUGUGUGACUCUGGCCUUCUACCGAGACAACAGAGAAACGCACAGCAACUCGCAUGGAGGAAUCGGCGAAAUGGCUCCGACCGCGGCGCUAGGGGGCGGGGCCAGCGAGCGGUGUUGAAAGCAGCAGGGGCCUAGAAGACAUUAAACCGAUACCACAGAAAUACAAAGGAUCAUUAGAGACUAUUAUGAACAACUAUAUGCCAACAAAUUGGAAACCAAAUGGAAAUGGAUAAAUUCCUGAACAGAUACAACUUACCAAAAUUGGACCAAGAAGAAAUAGAAAACCUGAAAAGACCAACUAUGAGUAAUGAGAUUAAAUCAGUAAUAUAGAGUCUCCCAUCAAAGAAAAGUCCAGGCCCUGAUGGCUUCACUGCUGAAUUCUACUGAACAGUUAAAGAAGAACUCAUACCAGUUCUCAAACUCAUCCUGUGAGGGCAGCAUUACCCUGAUACCAAAACUAGAUAUGGACACAAGAAAAAAAAUCUAUAGGCCAGUAUCCCUGAUGAACAUAGAUGCAAGAAUCCUCAACAAGACCAGGUGUGGUGGUUCAUGCCUGUAAUCCCAGCACUUUGGGAGGCCAAGGCAGGUGGAUCACCUGAGGUCAGGAAUUUGAGACCAGCCUGGCCAACAUGGCAAAACCCUGUCUGUACUAAAAAUACAAAAAUUAGCCGGGCAAGGUGGCGUGUGCCUGUAAUCCUAGCUACUUGGGAGGCUGAGGCAGGAGAAUUGCUUGAACCUGGAGGGAGGAGGGGCAGAAGUUGCAGCGAGCUCAGAUCGUCCCACUGCACUCCAGCCUGGGUGACAGAGUGAGACUCCAUCUCAAAAUAAGUAAAUAAAUAAAGAGACUCAACUAGC